GACAGAGGUGCCGAGCGUUAUUCGGAAUUAUUGGGCGUAAAGGGCGCGUAGGCGGCUGUACAAGUCAAAGGUGAAAUCCCUCGGCUCAACUGAGGAACUGCCUUUGAAACUGUACGGCUUGAGGCCGGGAGGGGGUAGCGGAAUUCCCAGUGUAGCGGUGAAAUGCGUAGAUACUGGGAGGAACACCAGUGGCGAAGGCGGCUACCUGGACCGGUUCUGACGCUGAGGCGCGAAAGCGUGGGUAGCAAACAGG
rnacentral:rRNA from 1 species